rnacentral:rRNA from 1 species
AAUGGGGGAAACCCUGACGCAGCCAUGCCGCGUGAGUGAAGAAGGCCUUAGGGUUGUAAAACUCUUUUACCCAUGAAGAUAAUGACGGUAAUGGGAGAAAAAGCUCCGGCUAACUUCGUGCCAGCAGCCGCGGUAAUACGAAGGGAGCGAGCGUUGUUCGGAUUUACUGGGCGUAAAGCGUAUGUAGGCGGCCAAGCAAGUUAGAAGUGAAAGCCCAGGGCUCAACCUUGGAACUGCUUUUAAAACUGCUUGGCUAGAAUAUUGGAGAGGAUAGCGGAAUUCCCAGUGUAGAGGUGAAAUUCGUAGAUAUUGGGAGGAACAUCAGUUGCGAAGGCGGCCAUCUGGGCAAUUAUUGACGCUGAGAUACGAAAGCGUGGGGAGCAAACAGGAUU